UGUAGAUUGACUUGAUGGGUCCAACGUUGGUCACACUUCUUGUGAGUGUGACUUCUUUCUCAAUAUUUGGAAUUGUGAUUGAAGGUAAGUUCAUAUCAAGAAUUGAUGGCUUGGGAGUUGGACACUUAGUCUUUUUACCGAUCACACGAGAGAUUGAGGAGUCGUUGUAACCUUUGGAACACAUGUAGUUGAUGUAAUCUUCAAUCCCCAUAUCGUAUACAAGUCCAGGGUGUGCAGCUCUUUGAGGGUUUACAAGACCUCCUCCAUAGUCAAAUGGAUCUGCGAGCUUCUUGUUUGAUCCUUCAGCAAAAAUGGGUUCUCCAGAUGGACUUGUCCUCCAAGCUUCAAAAAGAGACCGGUUUCUCAGUUUUAUUUGUGUAAUUAAAGAAGAAUAGGUGAAGAACUAAGCAAAGAACCUGUUGUGACCAAAGCUGAUCUAAAUGCAGCAGGAGACCAAUCAGGAUGUAGAGACUUUAGGAGAGCUAUGAUACCAGAAACAACCGGAGUCGACAUCGAUGUCCCUGAGGCGAGUCCAAAUCCAUCGUGUCCGUUAGGAUCAAACGGACUUAAUGCAGCUAGUAUGCUCACACCAGGAGCUGCUAUAUCAGGCUACAGAGUAAAACGUGAUUAAUAAUCUAGUUUCAAAAUCUGACUUGAGACACAAGCUUUGUCUAUAACCUUGAGAAUGGCUGGUGAAACCGAGUUAGGCCCUCUAGAUGAGAAUUCAGCAACCUUUGUUGUUGCUGGCAGACCGGUUAGUGUCGUAGCUGCGCUGAUUCUCGCUGUGGGCGACCCGUGAUUCGACGUGGGGAUCAUAAGAAAACUUAACUUUAUGAAUAUAGUUUUUUCUUUUUUUGUCAAAACUUUAUGAACAUAGUUUAUUUGCUUCAAGAUAAAGGACCUGGUGGUACGUAUGUAUUGUAAAAUGUCGGUCCCAAGGUCGUAAUCAGUGUAAAUGCAAGGAAAAGCAUGGCAUCGAUCAACAAUGUCAUCGGGAUGUUGGGCAUAUAUGACUCCUGCUACACCUUUCGUUUCAACUGGAUAGGUACUAGUAGUAUCGAAAACAAGAACUAUUUUCCCCUUGACAUCACCGUUAUCAUCACUCUCUGAAUCCCAGUAGGCUAAACCGGUUGAAAUCUCCGGUCCAGUGAACAGAGACUCACCCUAAUUAUACACCAAAAAUAAUUAAGAAGUUAAUAAAGGUCCAAAUAUGGCAACUUUUGAACCAUUUUUCAUAACAUAAAUAAACAUACGAAGAGAGUUUGUUUAUUGCCAAGUGUGAUCUUUGUAGGAAAAGACCGGUCAAGAGUGGUUGCAGCAACGGUCAAGAGCCAAGGAGCAGCAUUAGCAACAGUCUGAGCCUUAGGCCCUUCAUUACUAGCCGCAGCCACAACCGGAAUCCCUUUAGAUACUGCAUGAAAGGCCCCGACAAAAUCAGGCUUAUCCACCUCGGUGUCCUCUGGAAGGUCCCCGGAUAUAGAAACAGACAAAACAUCAACCCCAUCGUGUAUAGCAUCAUCAAAAGCCUUCAACAUAUCAGCAGUUGAACAGCUUCCACCGGGUCCUGUUCCGUCUUUUUGCAUUGUGUUCCAACAUACCUUGUAAGAGGCUAUGCGUGCCCGAGGAGCACCACCUCGGACCGUGCCUUAGAAGAAUCCACACAUCGGUUAGGAAGUAAACAAACUAACUAACUAAUGUCUUAUAAUAAAUCUGUAGCUUCACCCUCAAGCUAGCUUUUGUGGUGAAUACUAUUCAAAAGCCGGUUUUGAAAUUUAGGACUGUUAUCGGAUGUUUUGGUUAAAAGCAGAAACAAUUAAGAAACUUACUUAAAAAAUAUUAUAAAUAAUAUAAAAUAAAGUGAAUUACGCAAUCAUAAAUAAUACAUUAUAAUUUUAUUGGUCGACCAAUUUUGCAAUAAAAUAAAGUUGUCUUUGAAAUAUCAACAUAUUUUUGAAACACCAAAUCUUCUGUAAAAACAUCUUACAUUAUUGAACAGAGGGAGUAUAUCAGUACCUCGUGCUAGACCAUAGAAGCUCACGUUGGGAACCAAUGAGCCACCUGCUAUUGUGGCUGUAUGCGUGCCGUGACCGAGUGCAUCCCUGUUGGAUUUGAAUUCUCUGACUGUUGUUGUUUUGAAUGUUUCUCCCAUCUCGGCUAGUAGGCCGUUUACGUAGUACUUAGCUCCUAUUAGCUUUUUGUUGCAAUGAAUUGUGGCGUUAAACUUUUCCCCUGGUUCACAUUUUCCUCUCCAACGCUUAGGUAUUGGUCCAAGGCCUUGAUCGUUGAAUACCUUUGACUCUGGCCAUAUUCCUUUAUAUAUACAUACAUACAUGAUGUGAGACAAGGAUAUAUAUAUAUAUAGAGAGAGAGAGAGAGACCGGUAUCUAUGACGCCGAUGAUAGCUUCACUGCCCAUGUUGGUGUCAUGAAGAAGACCUUUUACAGAUGUUGUUGAGGAAGAAAAAGAAGUUGGAAUUUGAGAGAGUUCAAGGAGAUCCCAAGUUCUUGUGGUUUGCAGUUUCAGAAUCCGGUUUGGUAUAACAUGGAUUACUUCAGGAUGGUCUGUGCAAGAUUCCGGUUUAAAAAAAAAAGAUCUCUGAUAUAUGAAGUUUCUUUAGUUUGAGUUUGAGUUCUGUUUAGUACGUACCUGAUAUUUUGUUUGCUUGGGAAGAAGUAAGAAGUGCUGCGAAACCGGAAAAUCCAUGUGGAUAGCUGUAGAUCAUCGAUUUAUGUGCGUCUUCUUUGCUAUAUGUAACAUGAAGAUAUAAGUUAGAGAGCAACUCAUGAUGUGCAUUAAGAAGUAUAACAAAAAGGAGUAGGGCUUUAGUUUCGUGAAGAAACAGAACAUAGCGAGAGGAUUUCUUUGGUGGCAAGAAACUAAUGUUAAAUAAAACAUAUUCAGCAACUUUGAUGUCAUAGUCACUAUGCAUACAAAAAAAAUCUCACUAGAGAUUUGGCCUUUUGAAGAUGAUUAAGUACCUAUCAAGAAAUGAUUCAAGCAUUUGAUGAUGAGAGGCUGUAACAAGUUCGGGAUCAUCAUUUUCUCUUUCCCCAAGAUAAACUAUAUAAACCUAUGGAAUUAUUGAAAAAUACACAUUAGAUCAAAUAAAAGUCAAUAAUAUCUUAGCAAAUAUGGAAAUGUCAUUUUUGCGUUAAAUGCCUUGGUGUUGUUGUCUAUGGCUCUCGCAGGUGAAAGAAAACCCAGCUCCGUGUUAACUAACAGAAACAAAGAAAAUGCCAAUAGAAGCACAAGUUUGUAACUUGGUAAAGAGUUCUCCAUUUUCUUUAAUGAGAAGUGUGUGUGUGUGUGGAACAAAACCUAUGUGGUUAUUUAUAUAUGUAAAUGAUUCAUUCGUCUUUCAAUUUACAGUUCAUGACCCACUUCAGCACUUAGACGUGGAGUUUUGGGUUAGACUUCGGUUAGGAUAUGUAUUUAAUUAGUUCGGCUAAGAGGAAUGUCAUACUCAAAGGACAAAAACAAGGUCACUUUGAUUAGAUUUUGUUUUGGUUUAGGUGUGAUGAUUGUACCUAUGAGUAAACAUCAUUAUUUACCAUAUGACGAUGACGAUAUGACGUAAGCGGAAGUUUGUUAGAGAAUAAGAUAUUUUCGCUCCGUUACCAUAUGAGUAAACAUCAUUAUACUCAUUAAUUAGUUUCAAAUGUACAGAGUCUGCUUAUAUACAUGACUCAACUGAAUAAACCAAAAGUAAAUAAAUCGGUUUAUAUGUACCAGUGUACAAUCAUCAGCUAUUAACCAAAACUAUACAAGAGUUUUGUACGAUAAUAGUAUCAUUAGUCUUAUAUAAUUGCAUUGUGUUCAAAAAAAAAAAGUCUUAUAUAAUUGCAUUCAUUAUUUAUGUUGAUUUGAGAAAAUACUUGUCAAACUAAAACCUGACCUCAUUGCGGUUCGUUUUGUUUCAAUCAAUAUCGGUUAGUGAUCACCCUUACUAGGCACAAGAGUCGCGAUAGAAGGGAAAUAUGACAACAAUAAAUAAAAAAUUGUUAAGGUUUAAAGCAUUUUACACCUAGGUCUGAGAUUCAAAAUUAGAAGCACUGUAUCCUAAAUUCCUAAUGGUUAAGGUUUAAAAGUUUUUACACCCAGGUCGGAGGUUCAAAUCCCAGACUAUGCAAUUUAUUUGCAGAUUAUAGGAAAUCCAAGUUUCAAUUUAUUUGCAGAUUAUUAAACAAUUAUGCAAACGUAUGGAAGAAAAGCUUACAAGGAAUCUUCAACAUGGUGCAAGUAAAUCUGGUCUAGCGUGGAUCUUUAUAGGACGGCUCAGGUGAUGCAGUUAAGCGUAGGUUUUCAUAAAGCAGGUAGUAUUGUCGGUUAUCGAAUCGUCUAUGUAAUCUUUCUUAUAUCAUAAUAAAUCAGUUUUAAAAAAUAAAAAUAAAAAAUUGAUUUAUUGAGUCAACCCGUGCAGGGUCAUUUCGAGUCAAACCGGUUUUAUCUCUUUUAUCAUGCGACUAAACCCCACCAAAAUGUUUUGCUCCCUUUGUCAGAUACCCACUUUCCUUAAAGCCUAAUCCUUUCCUGAAAUUGUUUUAUAGAAAUCUAUGAUUUGUUUAACUAAAUAUUAUCAGUUUGGCCUUUAAGAGGAUAUCAAUCAUAUCUGACUAAUCUAGUUAGUAAGUUAAACCAUGGUUUGUUUACGACCAUGACUGACGGAAUUUGGUAUAGAGAGAGAUGAUUAUUAUAUCUUGAUAGAGAAAUCCAAACUGAAAGAUAGAAUCAUUGACAAGAAAAAGGUUUUUAGUGAUUUAAACUCCGAACUAUUUUUAAAUCGGAAGAAAAACUACCAACUAAAAUUUUAUGCUUUUAAAUCUUCAACUAAGAUUUUGUUAGUGUAUUAAUCCCUCCGUUAACAGUUCCGAUUAAAGUGGAUGGAAAACAUUAACUUGAAACACUGAGUUUCAUUAAACCCAGGUACAUGUCAUUUUUUAAUGAAACUCAACGUUUCAAGUCAACGUUUUCCGUCCAGUUUAGACGAAACUGUUAACGGAAGGGUUGAUACACUAACGGAAUCUUAGUUGAAAGCUUAAGAACAUAAAAUAUUAGUUGGAGGUUUUUCUUCCGAUCUAAAAAUAGUUCAAGGUUUAAAUCACUAAAAACCAAAAAGAAAACCAAUUCUAAUUUUUGCAUUUAUGGGUAUACGCAAAAACAUGGAAUGUGUAUAACAACAUGAAACUAUAUGAAAAAAAAACAUGAAAUCAUAUGCUAAUAUUUCUUUUCUAGUAAAUUUUGUUCCAAUUAUCCAUAUAUUCUUAUAUAUAUUAUUUUUAUUUGAAUAGAAUUAAUCUAAUAUUACUAAGAAUUGACACUAAAUUACUAUACACAAGUAAACUUCUGUGUUACAUUUGGAUAUAUACUUUUCAUUUGUCUCUUUGUACAGCAUAUAUAUUAUAGUCAUGUGUUCAUAUUAUAGUCUUGAAUUGAAUGUGUUUUUCAUACUUGGUAGAUAAAUGGUGACCACCAAUAGUUGAAUCUGUUUGAUAGUGGAAUCUUCAAAGGUGGUACGACUGAAUUUAUUGACUCGCUUUUUAUGCACGUGCAAGAAAUAGAUUAUUUUGUGUUUUGUUUUUUCUUUUUCUGCCAAAUGAUUAUUGUGUGUUUUCUUCUUUUUAGAAAGCCAUGAUAAAUUGAUAGUUAAAUACUACUAGAAAUCUAGCAUGCAUCGCUGAUAAUCCGUAACAAAGCACCGAUUGACCCACCCACUUGUCUCUCUUCAUAAUAUAUGUCCUCGAAUACACGUCUGUGCUCAUGUUACUACGUGUUUUCAGAAUGUUGUUGUAGUAUUGUUCUUAGCUGAGUGUUGAAGAAUUUCUGAAGAACACCCUUUCACCUAUUUUGUCUUCCUGGAGAUUUUUAUGACCGUGUUAUUGUUGUAGGGUAUUUAUUGCGCAUGCAUGAUACUUUGAUCAUACUAGUUUGCGAUCAUACUAAUUAGUGUAUGUUUAUUUCUGGUUGACUACAAACUACUACAAGAUAUAUACCUAAUUUGUUCUAAAGAAAAGACUAUCAGAUAACAAAUGUUUUUACAAUAUAUAUAUAUAUAUCUAUAUAAAAUAUAUAAAUAGAUUGAUAAUCGUAACGUAAAUAAUUUGCAAGAUGCAUUUUUUUGCUUAAGCAAGAUGCAUUUUUUAAUGAAAAGAAGAAAUGCGCUUGCGCUUUUACAUACGUUAAGUACUAUAUUCGGUCAACAAAAACCAUAGUAUGGAAAACAUUAAUCAUUAUAACAGUGAAACCCACUUAGCAUAGAACUUCAAAGGCCUUCACUAAUCACACGAGUGGAGAUUGUAUUUGAGGUAAAGCUUCUCUGAUUUUCAACCCGAAAUACUUUAUUAUUCUUUUUGACCAAUAUUUCUGAUACUUGUUUUAGUUUCAGAUUACUAUUUUUUUACUAGCAAAAUACAUUCGUGCAACUAAGAGUGAAGCGACCGUUUGUGUUUCUAACUUUCUAUUUCAAAUUUUAACAUUUCCAGAACUUUAUUUAUAUCUCUAAAAAUAAUUAUAGAUUUAGGAUAAUAUUUUCCUAGGUUGGAUUUUUAUUUCACAAAUCUUUUAUAUGUAUAAAUAUAUUAUUUCUCCCAAUUAUAUAAAUUUAUAUCAGUGAGAAGGAAAAAUAUGAGAACAGCUGAAAAAGAGGAAGAUAAAUUGCUCAUGCAUGCAGAGCCAGUCUUAGAAAUCUUAAGGCUAGAAGCCAAAUAUGAAAAAAUAGCCGAAAAUAAAAAUUAUGUUGGUAGGGUUACUCGAACCCGGUUUUGGGAUAUCAAUACAAUGGCUAUUCAACCACUGCACUAUAGACACAUUUUGGAAAAAUGUGGCCGAUAUUUUUGAUAAUAAUUUGCGGCCGGAAGCCAUUGCUUCUAUUGCUUGGACCCAGGUCCGGCUCUGCAUGCAUGCGUGGUGGUAGCCUGAUAGGGUAGUGUGAGUAAGCAUUAGAGCACUUCUAAUGAUAGGUUCUACCCAUUAAAGUUCUAAAUAUGAAUAUAUGUUUAUGUAUAUAUUGUAUAUGUAUACGUAGUUGUGGAGGCCACUAAAUAGUGUAGAACCCCUAUUCAAAGGUUCUAAAAUUUUUGUUUUUAGAACCUUUGAAUAGGAGUUCUACACUAUUUAGUAGACCUCACAACUACAUACAAAUAUACAAUAUAUACUUACACACAUAUUUAUAUUUAGAACUAUCCAUUGGAAGUGCUCUUAGUUUUAGUUUGCUGUAAAGUAUCACCUUCCAUAUGUCACCGUUUGGUUGGUCUAACGAAUGAGGGUGUUAAAUUAUUUCUCUUUUUAUUGGAGGGUAAUUAGAAAAAAGAAAAAGAAACAUGCAAAGUUUAUUAUUUUCUCCAUCAUAAAUACACGAAAAUAUUCAGUAUCUAUGCUACCUUUGAAGAAAAUGAACUUGGAGGUCUCAUGUCGAAAUUUAAGACAUAUUAACAAGCCUAUCGUUAACGUAUGGUUGUAACUAAUAAACUAGGAUAUUGAUUCGACACAGUUCGAAUUGAUAAAUAUAUUGAUUCGACACAGUUCGAAUUGAAAAUUGCAAAAAACUACAUAAGAACAAAGACCAUGGCAUCAUACCGCUCUUUUUAAUACAUUGAAUCGAUCGAAAUCGCUUAUGGUUCAGAUCAUUUUUGAGUUUCUUUGUUUAGCCUUGAUCUUCAUCACCGAUCCAUCAUCAACUAAACAUGAGCUCUUUAUGUCUCUUCUCUGUUUUUUUUUUUGUUGAUAAUUCUACUAAUUUCUUGUAUUUAUUUGGAUAUUAAUGUUAAUUUACUGACUUCAGUUUAAUUAUACUGGUAAAAACGUUAGGUUUCUCCGAGUUCUUGAGCUUACAAAAACAGAGUAAAAACAUAUAAUAUAGGUAGAGGAGGAUCAAGCUAGACAACUGCUUGUAUAUGUUGUGAUCUGUGGUUGUCGUUGAAUUGCUGGUGUUGAGAUCGUUGCUGAUAUUAAUGAAGUUGAAUUGGCUCAAAAUCAUGAAACCAGAUCGAUAAAGUAUCAGAGGAUGAAUAAAAAUUUCGAUACUUAAUUAUAAGAAUAUUAUCAAAGGCUAUGACACUACCGAGCGGCAAUGAUCGACAUGGUGAUUUGGUUCACUGUGAAAGAUUCAUGGUCGGGCUGUUUACUCCAAGUCGAGUAAGUUUCACGAGAAUUUCAUAUGACGCAAUAACCUGGCGGGUUAGGCUGAGGAAUAUCUACUGCUUCACUUUCCAGCAUCAAAACAACUGCCGACAUCAGUGGCCUAUCAUCUACACGUGAUUGAACACACAAGAGGCCAAUUUGUAAGCGCCUUAAGAUUUCACGUGGCCUGAACGUUGGGGAUGAAGAAUCUUUUAUGACCAUGUCUACAAUCGCUAGACCUUGACCUUUUUUCCAAUUCCUCCCGGCUCCACACCUGUGCAUAAAGGUUGAAUCUAUUCUUAGUGACAUCGUCAUAGAUUUUGAGUGUGCAACACAAUCAAAUUUUAGAGGUUUCAAGCUUACACAUUGGAGAAGAUUAUGGUCACGGUCCGAGUUGUAGAAUCCUUUAUUCUUCUUGCCACUUAUAAUUUCAAGAAGCAAGACCCUUUAUUCCUCUUGUACACAUCUGACUUCAUCGAGAAUAUCCCUUCUAAAGCGUAUUCUGGGGAUAUGUAGCCACUGCAUAGCAAAUGGUAAAUAGAAAAUAGCUAUCAGGUUUUAAGCUGUAUUUGGGUUAGCUCUUGGCUUCAAAAAUGUGAUGAUGUUGUUAACUGCUUACUAAGUUCCGACCACCUUCCUCGUGUUAGCUUCUGUCUCAUCUCGUCCAAAGAUCCUAGCCAUUCCGAAGUCCAAAAUUUUCGGAGUCAUAUGUAUCUUUAUCAAGCAAGACGUUGCUUGCUUCCAAAUCCCUAUGGAUGAUUCGAAUGGAUGAGUCUUGGUGAAGAUACAGAAGCCCUCGCGCAAUACCAUUGAUAAUAUCAAAUCUCUUUUGCCAAUUUAGCAUACAUCUUCUGGUUUCAUCUGCACAUCGUUCACAACAGAACCAAUUCAAUUAUUAAUGUAUGGCUGUUAUCAGGUUCAUCAAGACAAUGAGACAUGGCCACAUAACAGCCAUACAUUAAUAACUGAAUUGAUUCUGUUGUGAGAUGAAACCAGAAGCUGUAUGCUAAUUGGCAAAUGAUGAUCUUGAUCUACGAGUACUUGGAGAAUCGACUCUCAUCUCUUUGUCUAUGAUAACAGCCAUAUAUUAAUACUUUUAGAAAAUCUACGAAAAAGCCAUGAAAUGAAAAAUUGGCUAUUUGUAUGUAAACUGUGGCAAAAAAAGUUUAAAAUAAUCAUAAAAUAAAACGUUUUCAAAAUAUCCAAAAUUUGACCAUGAAUAUUUCGUGAAAAAUUAUAACAAAAUAAGUGGCUAAAACCACAAAAUAGGGGAUAAAUUGUUAUAAAUCUACCUUGUAAACAACACCAAAGUCACCUUUUCCGAUCUUGUUACAAUCACAGAAACAGGGGCGGAUGUAGUAAGGUGGUAGGGGGGUCAGCUGACCCCACCUAAAUAAAAAAAAUUAUGUGUUUUUCUUGUAUAAAUUUUGUUUGUGACCCCAGCAUAAAUUUCUAACUGACCCCACAAAUAAAAAUAACGCGAAAGACAAAAUAAUCAAAGAAUUAUUUUAAGUUAUUUUUGGGCUUACUUCAUUUUGGACUCAGUUUUAAUUUGAAUCCACUUUAAUAUGAAUCCACAAAUUACUAUCUAAAAUGUCAACAAAUCUUUUACGUUUAUUGUUUUAUUUUCUUGCUAGUGUUUUUCGUUUUCAUAUAUUUUACUUUUCAUUACAAAAAGACAAGUAAAACAUGUUUACGUUCUAAUUUACUUUAGUAUCUGUAGGUCAUAUUUUAUAUCAAGUUAGAUAUGACAUGAUUUAAACUCAUUGAAAAUUUAAGAUCUAUAUUUGCAAUUUAUGUAUUUAAAUAUGUAAUUUAGUUUGUUAUUCUUAAUAGAUAAUGCAUCUGUUCCCAAAAUACAAAUAUUAAAAAUGUUAGAAAUUAUAACGAUGUUUUUAAUGAUGUUUGGUUUUUAGGUGGUUGUAUUUAUUGUUUAUUCAAAUAAAAUCUAAAUAUUGUUAAAAAAUUGUGAUACAAAUAAAGAAUAGAUGAAUUGUAAUGUAGGUUAUUUUUUUAAAAAAAAUAUGAAUAAUUUUGUUUUGACCCCACUAAAAAAUAUUUCUGGCUCCGCCACUGCACAGAAAUGUUCGGUGGCUAUGAGAACAGCUUCAAACUCCAUCAAUGGAAGUUCUAAAUCUUCUUCUUCGUUCUCUCCAGACAAGUUUUUCUCUGUCUUGGUAAUACCACCCCUUAGAGUGAAUCUAACCACGUUCAUUAGAAUUUGUUUUUUCACUUGACAUUUGAACACGUAAAGGAUCAGAAAAUAAAAUAAAAAUUACUGAAAAUUAAAUAAAAGUGAAGAUUAUUACUGAUUUACCUAUAGGUGUUUUUUAAUUUAAAAGAGCCUUAUUUACCUAUAGGUGUUGCAGUUGUCUUUGCUUGCUUCUGUCUCUUCUUCCAAAAGCAGAACACGAUAACACACAGAAUAAGCAUAAGGCCGACUCCUAUACUCUAACCUAUUAAUUUUAUGUCUCUCUCCUCGUCUGAGGAAAGAACUGCAAAGAAUCGUGUCAAAAUUUGAAAGCUAUUAAGUUGACCAACUCGAUUUUUCCGCAUGAAUGGCUAUAUCACUCAUUAAAAGUAAAUGUUAGUUGACUUCGACAGGUUAAGAAAUUAGUAUGAGACUGCGACGUGAGAAAGAAAACAAAAACUAUAUGUAUUACAGUAUGUCUUAUAGGUCGUUGUCGUAUAACAUCUCUUGUGUUUGCAAAAAAGAAAUUGUUUGCUUAAAAUUUGGUGUUUGCAGAAUUAUCUCAUGCAUUUUACCUUCUUGAGAAUUCAUAAUCAUAAUCAUAAAUAUUAUUUAUUCCGUUUCAUUUUAAGUAUGGUUAUAAACUUUAGAAGAUUUUUUAUUAUAACUGUUAUUUUAUAUUUUUAUAUGAAUAAUAGUUUUUUCUACUUUUAUCCCUAUUUCUUAUUUUAUUAAUUAAAAAUUCAAAUAAAAUUAUUUAUUAGUUAAGAAUUUAAUGAUUUUAAAUAUGUGACAAGAACUUUAAAUGACAUAUAAAAUUAAAAUGAAACUAGAUUUUGACCCGCGCUUUGAAGCGCGGGUUUUUGGAUUAUAAAGAAAAACCACAAUUUGAUAUGAAUUAUCAUUUUGAGAUUGUUCUACAUUAUUACGUUACAGAGUCGUAUUAUAUCAAAGAAGGAUAUUUAUUUAGAUUUAAUUAGCUUAUUUGAGAUUCUCAAUGUAUAUUUUUAUGUAAAUUUUUAUUAGGCAUAUGUACUCUAUCCGAACCCAAAAAUUUGAACCAAAACUGAUCCAAAAAUACAUAUUCAGUUUGGUCAAUUUCUAAAACAAAGUACUUAUUGGAUAUACUUUUGAACCCGCGAGUCUCGGUUAGGUCCGAGUUUUAUCUGAGACUCGGUCGGCUAAACAAAGUAUCCAAUUGUUUUGUGUAUAUUAGGCAUAUAUGGAUAUUUAAGAUUGGUAUUAUGGAUAUUUUUAAGUUAAAAGGUGAUGCUAUCAAAAUUUACUUAUAUAUUUCAGGUAUUCAAGUAAAAUUUUGGAUAUUUUCUGUUUUUUAGUUCAUAUUUUGGGUAAAGUUUUGGGUUAUAUAAACUAUUUGAACUUUUUAGAGUUUUGUUUGAGUUUUCAAAAAUUUCAUGUUUCAGGUAUUUUUGUGUUUUUGGUUAUUUCAAAUCUUUUCGGGUUUUAAAUAUUCAAAUCGGUCAGACUCGUCAUGUAACCAAAAAUUAUAAUUAUUUGAAUUACGAAUCUGAACUGAUCCGGAACCAACCCAAAUCCAAACUUAAAUAUUCAAAUAUCUAGUUGGUUUAAAUGUCUAAGAUAUAAAAGGAAUCGAUCCAACUCGGCCCGAAGACCCAAAUAUUAAACUUUACUCUCUCUCAUUAUAUUUGGUGUGUAUUUUAUAAUAUUUUUAUUUGUUGAGUUGAUAAGACUUAAGAUUUAUUUAGCAUAUUUUUUAAUUUAGUAUUGCAGUCCCAAAUAUAUAAUCUAAUAACAUAAUAUGAAACCUUCUACAUUGAUAUAAUUUGUUUUGUUAAUAGUGUUGAUAUUGGUAUAGCACGUUAGUUAAUGGUAGAUGUUAUAAGUUGUAGAUCCUAUAAAGGUCAAUUACGUUUGGUAUUAUAUGUAGAUAAAAAAGUGGAUCCAAAAAAAUAUUAGAAUUAAAAGGGAGAUUUUUUUUUUGGGCAAUUAAAAGGGAGAUUACAAUAUAUUUUUAAAUGAUGGAAAAUAUUAUUUGGUUGCUAUAUAAUAGGAGUUCAGUUAUAAUAUCUAGUUAUAUAUAAUAGGUUGGACUAAAAAUGAAAGGGUGCAACAACCUUAUUUAAGUAGAUUUUUUUCAGAAUGAUUCUCUUUUAAUAGUAUAGAUAAAGGGAGUACUAGUUAUUAGCCAGCUCGUUUCAUGGAUGAUUCAUAUUUAAAUAUUUUUAUUUAGUUGACCAACAUAAAAAUAUUUUUUCAUGAUUUUCAUUUCUACUAGUAUUAUCCAUGCAUGUAAAGUGCGGGCUAACUACUGUAUUAUUUUGUAUCUUUUCUUUUUGAAGGAAGCAUUUUGUAGGGAAAUUGCACCGUAUAGCACAAAAUAAAAUUAUAAUUCACUCUCUGACGAAUUGACCUAACUUACACUGAUACAACUUGUAUUAUAUGUAAUAAUGCAUAUUUACCCUUUCAUUCAACCGGUUCCACCUGCAAAAGAAAAUAAAAAUAAAUUAAUAUUAGUUGUUGUCUAAAGUAAAACGUGGCAUUUCUUGUCACAAACUUCUCAAAAUAAUUUUUUAAUAGGUAAAAACUGAGAAGGUAAAUAGUUUUCUUCUCUGUUUUUGAACGACUACGAAAGAAAGCACCGACUUCAUUCAUGGAGAAGUUUUUUGGAGGAGCACAAAUUUUGCAGCCUCUGUCGGUGAUCUAGUUGAAGACUUCGCCGGUUCAGAAUUUAAUAGUUGCGAUGGCGGCGUAACGAUAAGGUGGAACAACUCUUCCCAGUUCGACUUAAUAGAAGCUUAUUGAACUGUAAGUUCUGAUUUGGGAUUUACAUGGUCAUUCUAUUAUACUUUCGAUUCAUUUCGAGUAAAUCAAUUGAAAAUAUUUGAGAUAUCUGAAAGUGAACCUUUUUGUUGUUGCAUGUGUGGUUCAAUAUUUGGAGACACAUUGAUCCAAUGUUUGGGAUUUUUUUUCCUUGUGUUCAUUCGAUUAUACAUUUCAAUCUACUUCGUAACUAGAGUAAAGUGGAAUAAAUUUAGCAAUCUGCGUUGGUGUGGUUGUCUUCUGUUUGCAUAUGUUAUGUAAAUAGAAUAACAUGAACAACAAAGUAGAAUAGUACGUGGUGGUUUUGUAAAGAAUAGUCGUAUUUUUAUUUGAAGAUGUACAUAGUAUACUAUUUAAAAGUUUAGUUAGAUUAAACUGUUUUCUGUCAUCUUCAAUGCAUUUUAUUUGUGUCUUGCUUUUUAGUAACUUCUUAUAUAUGCUUUUUAACAUAAUAACAUCAGAGAUUCCCGAUUCGCCUUCAUAUAUCCAUAUUUCAGAAGAGAAUUUCAAGCCCAUGAGUGUCUGUUGGUGGUGAAAAAUAGCGACGGUAUACCGGUGAAUGCAUGUCGCCAUGUCUGAAAAAAAUAAGAUCUGAUAGAAAGAUCAAAGAAGAUGACUGGUGCUUGUUCUAUUCUAUUAUAGAUAUACAUAAUAGAUUUGUAGCAUGAUAUGUAUUAUGUUUCCUGUUACUUCACAUGUAACAUUGACACUACCACUGGUUGUUUUCAUUAAUGUCAUCAUCCUCUCCUCUUCCACCUCCUUUAAAUGUUGCAAUGGAAUAUUGUUUUGUUCUAUUCUAUCUGACGAUUAUAUAAUGUGAUUUUACAGUGAAUAAAUAUGUAUUAUGUUUUAAAGUUAUAUCAUUCGUAUGAAUAUAUGGUUAUGCAUUAACCGCACAUAAACAUUUAAUAAUUUCACUCAAAUGUACUAUGCUUUUUAUUUUAUUUCAUUCUAUUUGGGUUUAUGAGUUAUAUUUGGGUUUAGAGUUUAUAUUUGGAUUUAGGGUUUAGUAAAUAUGGUUUAGGGUUUAGUAUGUAUAGGUUAGGGGUGGGGUUGGGAUAGAGUUUAGUGUUUUAGGGAUUGGGAUGAAGUUGAUAUGCUAUACUAUUUUGGUGAUAUAGAAUAGAAUACUUCAAAACUUUCAAGUCAUGUAAUUGUGCAUUCUUUAGCAAAAAAAAAACUUGCUAUAUGUUGUAAAUGAAAUAGUUUUAUGACCGAGUAGUCUUACUAUUUCAGUGAUAUGGAACAGAACAUUCAUAAAUUUUAUAUGUAUUUGUGCCUUUCAGUUUGUUAGUGCUUUUCAGUUCGUUUCAAGCAUAGUUAGUGGAGUCUCAAGCAUCCCAAACUACAUAUGCGGAAACGAAGAAUGUGACGUGGGUGAUUCACGUGACUUUAUGGUGAAUAGUGCUCAUAUUAUCUCUUGUCCAUAUCUUUCUUUGUGGACGUCAUCUCUUAUUUCUUUUGUUAACUGGAUACUUGUAGAUUGGAAGGGUAUAACCGGAUCGCAUAGGGUACAAAUGUUAGUUUAUGAAUUAUGUCAAAAUCAUUGUCAUAUACUUAAUUAUCAUUUUCAUUUUGGUUAUUCAGCAAAUUGAUUUUUGCAUCUAAUAACUUCUACAUCCACUAUUAUUUUUUUUGUCAACAUCACUAUAAAAUCGUUAGCAUAAUAUUUCCAUACAAAUUUGCUAUCAAAUUAUUAGCUAUCACUACGUUACUAACUUACUUACACUGUUCAAUAAAACUUCUUUUUACUCUAUAAUAUUUGGCCUUUUGUUAUUUACUUCUUUGGAUGAACAGGUCACAUUUGUUAUUUUGAAUUUUGAAAUAAAAGUAUAAAAUAAUUAAUUUUAAACUCUUAUUCAAGCAUUUUCAACUUAACAUAUAUGGACGUAAUAUUUCCUCUAAUUUUUUUAAAAAAAUAUGUAUAACCAACAAAAAAAUUAUAUACUUAAUUAAUUAAAUAAAUUAUUCAUAUAUAAUUUAUUUAUACUCUUAUUCAUUUAUUUUAAAUUUGGUGAAAUAUAUUUAGGUCACAGUAGAUAUCUCAGUUUAUAAUGAGAUUGUGAUAUCCAAUUGUUACCUAGAUCAACAACAGCCACUUUGACAUAAAGAUCUUGACCACCGAUGGAGUAAGUCCGGAUAUCAGAGAGGUCUCCGGUCCAAAUCACACAACCCAAUCCUCCAUUUUGAACAUCCCCAGCCGCGAACGACGUACAGUCACAAUCGCUAAGGCACCUCUCUUUACAUUUUUUCGCAUCAAUCAUCCGGUCCACAACAGCCAUCUUAGUAUCUGGCAGCUUCAUAUUCUUUAGUAGCGAAAACCCAUUUCCACUGCAGCUCAGUGGUGUCCUCCUCACACACCCAUCUGAUCCUUCUCUCAAGUCCCACUGCUGCCGGUUCUUGGGAUCAAACCCUGCAAAACAGUUACAUAAUUAGGUGACGUGCUUAGGUCGUCAUAAGCAAUAAGCAUAAGGCCCACAGCUUUCAUAAAUAUCGCAGUCGUCCGUUGGUAAAGUCCAGAAAAUGUUCCAUCCCCAUGAUGGCGGGAUCCACGUGAAUCGGUAAAGGUACCCUAACUCACUGAUCUUCAAUCUCGAGUAGAUGCUUUGGUUGGCCAUAAGGAACGUGUAAGCGACCUCCUCACUGUUCUCCGUAUAAUCGUAGACCAUGUAGCUUAAUCCUUGGACCUCCGGUAUGCCACUAAACUCGCUUCCAUUCCAGAGAUACCAACGCGAGAGUGCCGAGGGUUUGAAGAAACCAAGCUCGAAGACUCCACCGGAAGAUACAAGUGUUCUGUUGCUUGAGAUUGUGAGAGAUUCUGUAGACGACAUCAUGUUAACAACGAUCGAAAGGGUAGGAUGAAAUAGAAUCAAGACGAGAAAGAACGAGAAGGUGUAAGAAUGGUGGUAUAUAUUCUGUACACCUUUCAUCUUUUUGACGCACGAUUGAUGAAAAUACCUUGCAUAUAUUAAUAUCGGGUUCCUAUUCAUAUCUUACAAUCUUUAGUUACUUUCGCAAGAAAAUUUGAAAUUAAUUAAUUAUCAUCACGAACCUAGCAGACAAGCAAAAUGUUGUGUUUCAUAUUCCAUGACUUUUUCACCCUUUCAAUCAAUUCAUUUCCGCGAACCUUUUUAUAUCAUUGGUCUACAUUUUUAAAUUUACGCUUUAGUUCUCACGCUGCGAAACAUAGCAUGUGUUCUUCUCAGUGAGAAGAAAAAGAGCAUGUGUUCUUCUAAAGAACAUAGCAUAUGGUGUUCGGCAGCUUGUAUGGUGUUCUCAAGAGCAUCAUACGAUCCAUUCAAAGUUUAUUGAAAAAAUUUCGUACAAUUUCUUCAACGAUUAUGGAAUAUUAAAUUUAGGAUCCGAGUGGUUUCUCCUCUGUCAUCUGCAAACGUGGUUUUUUGGCAUUUUAAGCUAGCUUUGCGUUGUAAACAGUUGCAGGUAGAUAAAUAAAUGUAAAAUUAUUUUCAAACAAUAUUUGAAAAUUUAAAAUUUAAUUUUUAGAUUGAAAUAUUAUAAAUAAAAAUUUAAAAUAAAUUUUAGAUUUUAAUUUAUAUUCACUAACAAUGUCAGAAUUUAUAUUAUAAAAACUUUAAACCAAGAAUAUUCUAUAAUAUUUAAGCAAAAAAAAAACUGCUCAUGCAUGCACGGUCGUAGCCUGGUAGGGCAUUGAUCAGUUCCAUUAGUUGGCCGUAAAGUAUAAACUGCCAUGUGUUACGGUUUGGUUGCUCUGGGGGAUGAGUGUGUCAAAACAUGUAACAUUUAUUAUUUUCUCCAUCAAAAGACAAAAAUACACAAAAUAUUCAAUAUAUAUGCAACAUAUGCAGGAAAUGAACUUGGAGUUCUCAGGUCAAACUUAAGACAUUAACAAGUCACAACAUGACUAAUGUUAUAGUUAACAUAUGGUUGUAACGAAUAAACUAGGAAACUUCACGGUUUUCUUUAUAUGUGCGUUUGUUGUAUAAGGGAUUCUAAAUUUUUGGUGAUUUCAUCUUUCUAAUUAAUAAAGAUAUUGAUUUGACACACUUUGAAUUGAAAUUUGCAACGAACUUCAUAAUUAGGAACAAAGCCAUGAGCAUCGACAUGGCUCUUUUAAUACAUUGAGUCGAUCGAAAUCGCUUAUUAUUCAGAUAAUUUUGAGUUUCUUUGCUAAACCUUGAUCAUAAUCUUUGUCUGAACAGAGACAGGGAUCUUAACAUCAUGAACACCAUCAGUCCAUGUCAAGCUUCCAAAGAAGUAACCAGUGUUGACUUUAUGGCUCGUUUUAGCCUUCACCUUGAAAGUGAGCACUCUCUUAGCUGCAGAGCUAAACACGAGUGUGUUCGGUGUGACGGUGAGAGUUAUGCCGAGUGGAGACUCAAUCACAGCUUUGUAGACUGACUUGAUGGGUCCAACAUUGGUCACUGUUCUUGUGAGUGUGACUUUUUUUUCAAGAUUUGGAAUUGUGAUUGAAGGUAAGUUCAUAUCAAGAAUUGAUGGCUUAGGAUUUGGACACUUGGUAAUUUUACCGACCAUUCCAGAAAUUGAGGAAUCGUUGUAACCAGCGGAACACAUAUAGUUGAUGUAAUCUUGAAUCCCCAUAUCGUAGACAAGUC
rnacentral:lncRNA from 1 species